GCCAAUUUGAACCUGUGGGAUGGAACCUAAAGACUAGAGUCGGUUGUGUGAGUCAGGAAGAGGGGCCAGAUAUCUGAGUGUUCCUGUUUAGUUUCUUCAAUUGCAGAAGAGAGGUUGGAGUCGGUUUUUGCUGGCGGCGAUGUCCAGCGGAGAGCGUUUAAGUAUGGAGGCCUGACAAGUGUUUCAUCUUGCUCAUUCUCUCCUAUUCGCGAAUGUGUUCUGCAUUCCGCCGCCAGAGUGAUCUCAAAAUUAUAAAAUCAGACCACUCGUUUGCUGAGUUCCCCCUCUACCCCUUGUACUGAGAAUAAAAUUCACUCUUGAAGUCGA
rnacentral:sRNA from 1 species